rnacentral:rRNA from 1 species
UACGGAGGGAGCUAGCGUUGUUCGGAAUUACUGGGCGUAAAGCGCGCGUAGGCGGUUUUUUUAAGUCAGAGGUGAAAGCCUGGAGCUCGACUCCAGAACUGCCUUUGAAACUGGAAAACUUGAAUCUUGGAGAGGUCAGUGGAAUUCCGAGUGUAGAGGUGAAAUUCGUAGAUAUUCGGAAGAACACCAGUGGCGAAGGCGACUGACUGGACAAGCAUUGACGCUGAGGUGCGAAAGCGUGGGGAGCAAACAGG